rnacentral:rRNA from 1 species
AACGAACGCUGGCGGCGUGCUUAACACAUGCAAGUCGAACGGUGAAAGCGGAGCUUGCUCUGGUGGAUUAGUGGCGAACGGGUGAGUAACACGUGAGUAACCUGCCCCGAACUCUGGGAUAACUGCUGGAAACGGUAGCUAAUACCGGAUAUGACCAAUGAAGGCAUCUUCUGUUGGUGGAAAGAAUUUCGGUUCGGGAUGGACUCGCGGCCUAUCAGCUUGUUGGUGAGGUAACGGCUCACCAAGGCGACGACGGGUAGCCGGCCUGAGAGGGUGAUCGGCCACACUGGGACUGAGACACGGCCCAGACUCCUACGGGAGGCAGCAGUGGGGAAUAUUGCACAAUGGGCGCAAGCCUGAUGCAGCAACGCCGCGUGAGGGACGACGGCCUUCGGGUUGUAAACCUCUUUUAGUAGGGAAGAAGCGAAAGUGACGGUACCUGCAGAAAAAGCACCGGUUAACUACGUGCCAGCCGCCGCAGUAA